CAUAGCUUUUCGUAAUUAGUGCUGCUGCAGCCUCCUUUUCCUUAACAAGUUUGUGCUGAGAGACAACACAUCGUAGGCCAACAUUCUUAGUUAAGUUUCUAAAAAACUCUGCGUACAAGUUGCCCAACAUUCUUAGUUAAGUUUCUUGGUUUCACUGCUCAUGAUAAACCAUGGUUCUGUUGGCAGGGAAUGAGAACUUAUGAUUACAUUUUAGCAAUGAGAGAGGAGAACCAGUCUAUGGAGCUUUUAGAGUCAUCAGAAGAUUCAGAUUCCUCCUCGGAUGAGAGUAUCGACUUUGAUUCACCUGAGAAGCCAUCACUUAUUUCACGACUUACAUGCAGGGAAAAAAGAAUGAAUCAGGUAUGGUAUACAUAUCUUGGAUGAGAGUAUCGACUUCGAUUCACCUGAGAAGCCAUCACUUAUUUCACGACUUACAUGCAGAGAAAAAAGAAUGAAUCAGGUAUGGUAUGCAUAUCUUUUGCCUUUUUUUGCAUUCCUAGACCAAUCAAAACUGGAUAUUUCUCUUUUGAU
rnacentral:lncRNA from 1 species